rnacentral:rRNA from 1 species
GGACCCGCACAAGCGGUGGAGCAUGUGGUUUAAUUCGAUGCAACGCGAAGAACCUUACCAGGGUUUGACAUCCUGCGAAUCUCUUGGAAACAGGAGAGUGCCUUCGGGAACGCAGUGACAGGUGGUGCAUGGCUGUCGUCAGCUCGUGUCGUGAGAUGUUGGGUUAAGUCCCGCAACGAGCGCAACCCACGUCUUUAGUUGCCAGCAUUUAGUUGGGCACUCUAGAGAGACUGCCGGUGAUAAACCGGAGGAAGGUGUGGAUGACGUCAAGUCAUCAUGCCCCUUACAUCCUGGGCUACACACGUGCUACAAUGGAUGUGACAAAAAGUUGCGAACUCGCGAGAGUAAGCUAAUCUCUAAACACGUCCCUAGUUCAGAUUGUAGGCUGCAACUCGCCUACAUGAAGGUGGAAUCGCUAGUAAUCGCAGGUC